UUCCGGUUGAUCCUGCCGGACCCUACUGCUAUCGGGGGAGGACUAAAACAUGCAAGUCGUGCGCCUCCAAGCCAUGGUGGAGACGCGGCAUCCGGCUCAGUAACACGUGGCUAACCCACCCUUGAGACGGAGAAAACCCCGGGAAACUGGGGUUAAUCUCCGAUAAGAGAAGACACCUGGAAUGGGUCUCCUCUCAAAGGGCGCCUAGACCAUGCUUCUGGGCGUUGCUCAAGGACGGGGCCGCGGCCGAUCAGGUUGUUGGUGAGGCAACGGCUCACCAAGCCUAUAACCGGUACGGGCCGUGAGAGCGGGAGCCCGGAGAUGGGCACUGAGACAAGGGCCCAGGCCCUACGGGGCGCAGCAGUUGCGAAAACUCCGCAAUGCACGAAAGUGUGACGGGGCUACCCCGAGUGCCGUCCGCUGAGGGCGGCUUUUCCCCGGUGUAAGGAGCCGGGGGAAUAAGGAGAGGGCAAGUCUGGUGUCAGCCGCCGCGGUAAUACCAGCUCUCCGAGUGGUAGGGAUGAUUAUUGGGCUUAAAGCGUCCGUAGCCGGCCCGGCAAGUCUUCCGUUAAAUCCAACGAUUCAAUCGUUGGACUGCGGGAGAUACUGUUGGGCUAGGAGGCGGGAGAGGCCGACGGUAUUCUCGGGGUAGGGGUAAAAUCCUAUAAUCCCGGGAAGACCACCAGUGGCGAAGGCGGUCGGCUAGAACGCGCUCGACGGUGAGGGACGAAAGCUGGGGGAGCGAACCGGAUUAGAUACCCGGGUAGUCCCAGCUGUAAACGAUGCGGGCUAGGUGUUGGGGCGGCUACGGGCCGCUUCAGUGCCGCAGGGAAACCAUUAAGCCCGCCGCCUGGGGAGUACGGCCGCAAGGCUGAAACUUAAAGGAAUUGGCGGGGG
rnacentral:rRNA from 1 species